rnacentral:sRNA from 1 species
UGUGUCCUCUGAGCUCUGUGUCCUCCAGUCCCUUCUGCCUCAGGCAGCUGCGUGUUUGCCUCUGACCUCCUCAGGGCUUUCGAUUGCUGCCCUGGGGCGGGAAGCUCCGGCCUCCUCCCCCAGCUGGGCCCCCGACAGCUCCUGGCAUGCACAGUGAACUCUCUGGGGAAUCAUGGCUAUUUGGGGUUCUUCGAGGACCUGGAGCAGCGGCACAAGGCCCAGGUGCUGGUCGAGGACAUCAGUGACAUCCUGGAGGAGCACGCCGAGAAGCAUUUCCACCCCUACAUCGCCUACUGCUCCAACGAGGUCUACCAGCAGCGCACGCUGCAGAAGCUGAUCAGCAGCAACGCCGCCUUCCGAGAGGUCCUGAGAGAGAUUGAGAGGCGGCCGGCGUGCGGGGGCCUGCCCAUGCUCUCCUUCCUGAUCCUCCCCAUGCAGCGGGUGACCCGGCUGCCCCUCCUGACGGAUGUGAGUCCACGGCCUGAGGGUGGGGCCGGGCACACCAUCCUGGGGUCCCACGGCCAGAGCCCUGCCUCGGAUGGAGCAUUACGUGCUUGUGACCUUCUCCAAGCUUGGCCUGUGAUAUUGUAAUAGUUAUGAUCCUAAGAUGGCUUUAAUAACCAGGAUAACUUUGUGGUUGCCGCCACCCACAGAGCUCACUGUGCCGGGAGCUGUUCCAGCCCUUGGCGGAUUCGUGUUCACUUACUCAAUGGUUCAUGAGGUUCAGGCACACUGACGAGCUGGAACUGGCAUCACCCAGAGCCCUGCUGAGCCUCCUCCCAGCCCCCACCCCCGCAGUCCUCCUAGAUGUGGUAGCCCUGUCCUUGGCACCUACUCUCCCCGUUCUGUGGAUGCAGAGAGGGGCUCAGAGAGUCUCACCAGCAUGGGCUGUGUGUGUGGGAUGCCAGCCCACAGGGCAGAGGGUACAUGAGGGUGAAAGGCGUACACACACACACACACACGUAUAUACAGCGCACAUGCACUCAGGCACUUAUGUGCCCAUGUGCACACAAUGCAUAUGUAUCGAUGCCAAUACACACAUGCUUGCACACACUGCAUUGCACCAAUACAUGCAUGCACACUUGCACACACUGCAUUGCACCGAUACAUGCAUGCACACUUGCACACACUGCAUUGCACACACAGGCACUGCACACACAUACACGUGGAUGCACACACAUGCACGCACACGGUGCACAGGCAUAUUCACAUGUGUGCAUGCUGUCCGUACACACAGCCCUGCACAUGGCAGGACUGAGCUAAGCUCCCUGAGGCUACAAAUGGCAGGGUUGCCCAAGCCAAACAGAACCUCAAACUCCUGGGGGCCCCAGGGAUGUGCAGAAAUGGGGAUGCCAGGGGGCCUCCACUGACGAUUCCCCAGGUUGGAUGGAGAUGGCC